rnacentral:rRNA from 1 species
GACGAACCGUGCAAACGUUAUUCGGAAUCACUGGGCUUAAAGGGCGCGUAGGCGGGCGGUCAAGUCAGGGGUGAAAGCCCCCAGCUCAACUGGGGAAGUGCCUUUGAUACUGGCCAUCUCGAGGGAGGUAGGGGCGUGCGGAACUUCCGGUGGAGCGGUGAAAUGCGUAGAUAUCGGAAGGAACACCGGUGGCGAAAGCGGCGCGCUGGACCUCUUCUGACGCUGAGGCGCGAAAGCCAGGGGAGCAAACGGG